GUACUCCAAAUAAAUGUAUUGUAUUAUAUAUUAUUUACUUAUUUAUUUGUUUUUAUUCAUUGAAAUAAGAUGAAUUAUUUGUAGAUUUGGCUAUUAUAAACUUGGACUCACUUGUCUUGGCACACAGUGGGUUAAUAUAACGGAAACAAGAAAUGGACCAAUCACAAUUUUUCUUGUGUUGGUACCUGGGUAAAUUACUACCCCUGCAGGGCCUUCGGUAGCAGCAAUGAAGGCCUGUGUAAUUCAAGUGGAUGUUGAAUGUGGCAUGAAUUUGACAUUGACAGGUGUCUUAGCCAGUCAUAUUUCGCCGAGUUGAGGGCGGGAUCAUUUCAUGGCAUCUUCUGGACAUUCACAAAUACCUAGCAUGACCGUGUAAGGCGACCCGUGAAAGAGAGUGAGGAGAAGAGAGAACAAACAGGAGACAAAUAGACCUUAUGAAAUGGCGGCAGUUGGUAGUGAAGAAAAGUGUUAUCACUGGAUCUAUUGAAACUCCAUUUUCAAGAUUUCCUUUUCAGGAUAAACUUGAAAUUGUCCAGAAAAGGUCGACCAUCACCCGCCUUACCAGGAUUUGUGCAAUCUAGCGAGAGCCACCAGAGGCAUUUUCAAGCUAGCGGCUACAGCCAAGCUGCAGUGAUACCUCCACUGGAUAAAACUACUGAUAAACAGCUGAUAAAACUACUGAUAAACAACUGUUACUCUUAUUGCUAAUGUGUUCAGAUGGAAUAUAUUUCAAGGGAAUAGACUUUUUACUUUCAUUCCAGCCAAACAUUCAGUACCAGUACAGUACCUUUAUUUUUAUUAUUUUCAACACUGUAGAUUGAUACUGAAGACAUCAAAACUAUGAAGGAACGCAUGGAAUUAUGUAGUAAACGAAAAAGUGUUAAUCAAACCAUAAUAUGCUUUAUAUUUUAGAUUCUCCAAAGUAGCCACUGUUUGCUUUGAUGACAGCUUUGUACACUCUUGGCAUUCUCUCAGUCAGCUUCAUGAGGUAGUCACUUGGAAUGGUUUUCAGUUAACAGGUGUGUCUUGUCAAGAGUAACUUGUGGAAUUUCUUGCCUUCUUAUGUUUGAGACUAUCACUUGUGUUAUGCAGAGGUGGUGUUGGUACACAGUUCUAUAUAGUUUUGAUGUCUUCAAUAUUAAUCUACAAUGUUGAAAAUAAUGAAAAUAAAGAAAAAACAUUGAAUGAGAAGGUGUGUCCUAACGUUUGACUGGUACUGUAUAGUGGUGCAACGGAUCAUCAUUGAUCCAUGAUCCGUUCCGAUCAUUAUUUUCGGUUCAGCGCGCACACGUGAUCUGCGGAUUGAUUUCUGAAAAAAAACGUUGUGUGUAUGUUCAAUCCACACACUCGUAAAGUGCAGCGUGGUCAUGGUGAGUGGAGGAACAGAGGAGCUUGUAGGCAGUGUAGCACAAGAGAGCCAUGUGACAGUGGAAACACAUCAAGCAUGGCCACGCAUUUCAAGCGACAUCACCCCGGUGUUUCACUGACAGGAGUGAAAACGAAGACUGCUCAACAACCGCUUGUCACCGCGGCAUUUAAGCCUCUGUCUUCCCCCACACAGGAUUCGGACUCUGAGUCUUCCUGUGCCUCUGUUUGCUUCUCAUUCCCCAGACCCUGUCCCUUUCUUUGCCUGAAGCUCUCUAGAAUUGUUUCUUAGUUUCCUUUUCAGAUGUGGCACGUUUGAAAGCAAAAACUGAGAAGUAAAUGGUGAUUUCUUCACAGUAUUCUAAUUUUAUGAAUUCCUGUUUUCGUGGGUUUUAUGAGCUGGAAGCCCAAAUUAUGUACAAAUAAAUAAAUAAAUACUUGAAAUUGUUUAAA